rnacentral:rRNA from 1 species
AGUGAACGCUGGCGGUAGGCCUAACACAUGCAAGUCGAACGGCAGCACAGUAAGAGCUUGCUCUUACGGGUGGCGAGUGGCGGACGGGUGAGGAAUACAUCGGAAUCUACUUUUUCGUGGGGGAUAACGUAGGGAAACUUACGCUAAUACCGCAUACGACCUACGGGUGAAAGCAGGGGAUCUUCGGACCUUGCGCGAUUGAAUGAGCCGAUGUCGGAUUAGCUAGUUGGCGGGGUAAAGGCCCACCAAGGCGACGAUCCGUAGCUGGUCUGAGAGGAUGAUCAGCCAAACUGGAACUGAGACACGGUCCAGACUCCUAAGGGAGGCAGCAGUGGGGAAUAUUGGACAAUGGGCGCAAGCCUGAUCCAGCCAUACCGCGUGGGUGAAGAAGGCCUUCGGGUUGUAAAGCCCUUUUGUUGGGGAAGAAAAGCAGCAGGUUAAUACCCCGCUGUUCUGACGGUACCCAAAGAAUAAGCACCGGCUAACUUCGUG